rnacentral:lncRNA from 13 species
GGACCAACUCCAUAUUAAUACCCAUGAUUUUGGAAUGAGAUGUUGGACGAGCGUGUGUCCACAUACUUUUGGUCAUGUAGUGUACACUAUGAUCUUGGUUUACAUGUGGUACAAGAUGAGGGAGCCUUUACAAUGUGUCAACGCAUGUGUGUCCCAAAUUAUACCCUAUUCCCUAUGUAGUGCACUGCUUUUGACCAGAGCCCUGAUCAAAAUUAGUGCACUACAUAGUGAAUAGGGUGCCAUUUAAGAUGCAAAACCUGUCAUCUACAAAAUUCCUAAACUACUGUAUCUUGAAUGUGUUUUGUUAAGACAAAGAUGAAACAGAGCGGAGGGAGGAAUGUGCUGGGGCAGGAGAAAGGAUGACUAGUUUGAAAGAUGACAGCUGCAAUGAUGCCUUAGAAGGAGAAGAAGAGGAAGAUAUGAAUGACAGUGAAGGACUGCUUCUAUUAAUAAACCUGUCUAAGGCAGACAGCCAGGCUCUGACUAACUAUGGCAGCAGAGAGGACGAGAAUGAGGAAGAUGAAGACUUCAGGCUGAGCCUGAUGACGUCCAGACCUCUCUCUAAGCCAGUAACGACUCUCUCCAAGGCAGUAACGACCUUCCCCAAGCCAGUAAUGACUUUCUCCAAGCCAGUAACGACUCUCUCCAAGCCAGUAACGACUCUCUCCAAGCCAGUAACGACUCUCUCCAAGCCAGUAAAGACGCUCUCCAAGCCAGGAAGUGAUAUCCUAGAAUGUGAGCCCACAGUCUCUUCACAGAGGGAAAACCAUGAGACAGCAGCUGCCUCCUCUCCUCUACCUCUCCGUUCGGAUAACCAUGGAACGUGGGACAGCCACACCCCCAACCUCCGCACUACAGAGCCCUCUGACCUGCUGCAUCCCAGACUCAGACUCCCCCGUCAUGGUCAGCGCAUAGGUGAGUUAUCCUGUAGGGUGCGUCCCGAAUGGCAUCCUGUUCCCUAUAUAGUAUACUACUUUUGACCAGGGCCCGUACUCCCUCCCUCCUGAGUUGUCAACCCCUGAGUAACCAUAAUGGGGUCACAUGUAUUAAUUUAUCCUUUACAAGAGGGAGGGUCAGGAAAUGUAAGUCAAAAGUCGGAUGAAGAUGUUUUUGUCAAAGUGGAAGAUAUACCACCGCUGCAACAUCCUGAAGUUAAUGAGGCAUUAGCUGAUGAUGCAAAUCACAAAUAAAGUGUCAAUAUAUUAGCAAUGUGACUGACUACUGAUGCAGAUGGUAAUUAACACCUUUGUUGCUUUUUUCAUAAAGUAAGAG